ensembl:snRNA U2 U2 spliceosomal RNA
AUCGCUUCUUGGUCUUUGGACUAAGAUCAAGUGUAGUAUCUGUUCUUAACAGAAUAGGGUUCCAAAGUCCAUGAGAUGGGAUAAUGACACCGA